UGUGUUUGAACUGAUGACAUGUAGAAGAACCCUGGAUAUGUUGUGUUUUGAACUAGGUGAGCAGAAGAAAGGCCGGCUGUGCCCUGGGGAUGCCAAACUGGAGGGUGCUGCAGCGAGGGGGAAACCCAACACGGGCACUGUGCUGAGAAGGAGUUGGCAAGAGGGAUAGCUCAUUAGGUCACGUGGUGACUACAAAGACUCAAGUAAAAAAGGCAAAAGACAAAAAUUCCAAGGGAAACAGAAGCAAGCCCUGAGAUUUCCAUCUUCCUUGUUUGUUUCACCUUUGCAUACAUGACGUGAUUCUCUACUAAACAAGCAGACAGGCAGAUUUUCUACAGUACACAUGAACUGCUCACAUAAUCUGGAAUAAACAACAUGUUGAUGAAAAUAUGAAAAUUCAUACAUAUUCAAGAUGGCUUCAUGUAGUCCACUGAGCAACCUAGAAUGUAUCAAAGAUUAACUUUCAAAACACCUGGACAAUUGGGAAUUUGACUUCCAAAAGCAAUCUUUUGUGUCCUUGCACAUUUUAUUAUAAUGGAUCUUUAGCUCUUUACCAACCAGCCCUGUUGCACUUUCAGUUAAAACUAGUAAUGGAAACUGUACCUUCCACAUGAAGCAAGAGAGCCCAGUUAUGACUACAGAUAUUAAGAUAAGGGACCAGUUCAUGAACCCUCUACUGAUAGGGCGGUUGUGUCAUCUGGAGGACAUUUCUCCUCAAUUUGAUCUGACAAAAAGCUGGAUGUCAAAUUCUUAGAUAAACAAUACCAAGUUCCUGUGGGGGAAGAGCCAGUCAAAUAGGAGAUACUUGUUCUUGGCAUAAAAGUUUAUACUUAAGAAUUAGCUUAUCGCGUUUCACAGCUCACUGUAAACUAAGAGGGGUGGGGAGGAAAGGGUCAGAGACUGCUCUAAUUACCCUCAUUUGAGUAAGUAGAAUGAAAUGAGGUUUCCUAGGGUAAUUAAUCAAGUCAUGAUGAAAAGGGAUUACAUGCUGGACAUUAUUUUUGGUCAGGGAUUUGGUGAAGACUGCCACUGCCCCACAAAGGACACUGUCAUUGGUCUGGCUGAAGGUUCUCACUUAGGAAAGAACGUAUAGUAAUGCAAGGCUCAGCAUUGAAAAUAAAGGCUUAAGGAAAACAGCAGCAAUUAUCUGGCAUUGCUCUCUCCAAGUCUUGGCUUCAAUUCUUGCUGGUAAUAAGAGGCUUGCAAGUUUCUACGGUGUGUUGGGUGGAAACGGUCUAUGCCUGGUGAUUUUCACAAACAGAUGAAUAUACUCCUAUUUCCAAGCAUGCGAUUCAGCCACUUGGACUCCAGCAAUAACUGCCACCCGUUUCAAAGGAACUGGUGUAAUGCAGUCCUUAUAUCUGAGCUCAGAUCUAUUACGAAAAUCAAGCUGCAUGUUUUUCCAGGUGCUACCAUCUUGGAAACAAGGCACAAGGGGACCAAAAAAUGUGUUUCAGAACCUAAUGUGAAAGCCUCCAAUUAGGCUCUUUUUUAAUCUAGUUAUUGCAAGCUGUUUUGGCUAAAACCCGAAUGCACUUAAAUGUCUUCCAAGCCUGUAUGUUUGCUGCUCUUACUACUGAAGUGUUAUUUUGAAAAUGUUCAAAAAUGCCAUCAAAUUGAAUGUAUAUUUGACAUUGUAGUCUGCUUUGGUCUUUUUUUUUUAAAUUCAUUUGAGUGUGAAAUUAGGCAAUGCCUGUUGAUUGUCAGUAAAAUGAGUACAGUAGAAUGACUAAAUAGCAAAUAGUCCAACUGUCAGAGGAUUUCUGAAACCAGACCAGGAAAAACAGCAAGAUGGAAUUAAAUGCCAGUCAGGGACUUUGAAUCUCUGUCUAUCUGUCUCUUUCUGGUGUCCCAUAUUUCAGGUCAAUCCUAUUCCACCCCCUGCCUGAGAGCCCCCCAAACAACACAAAAAGCAAAGAACAACUCUCCUGCUGAACACAGUAAUUCUAAGCUAUAUUUUUUAAGCUUUUUGCCCAGUUAGUCAUAUGUCUGAAAAUGCAUAGAGUAUCCUCUUAAGCAACAGUGUGACUCAAAGCCUCACUACAUACUUGCAAAAGAACUUUGGCAUGCCCCAUCUCUGAGGAGGCUGGUGGGGUUGGGCCUGUACCAAAUAGUGGCAGAAUGCCUUCAUGAACAUGGAGGUCGCUCCUGAGAUCAAGGCUGGAUGGAUCUGUAGGGUGGGGCAGCCCACUGGGCACCACAUAAAACAGGAGGGGCUGUAAUGUUGGGGAAAAAUUGAAUAGACACUGAAGGAGUCAACCCAUUUUUCUGCCAAGUAUCUCCUUCUCUUCUUCUAUGGUGAAUUUGGAAUCUGCCUUUAUCUCUUUCACUCCACACUCCUAGAUUUUUACUGGAGUCUUUAUUUGUUCUCUGCAUGCAUUUAUAUUCUAUCUCUCAGACUUUCAACCAGCAUCUUGGUCCUAAGUCUGGACACUUUCAUCAAAUUGCAAGCAUUCUAGCUUAGGCAGGCCCCCAUAUAAUCUUACCAAGAUACCCAAUUCCUUUCCCAAAUAUUUCAUGAGCCCUUUAUGAAAGGUUAAUUUUCUUGCUCUCUUAUUUUCGAAUACCUUCCCUAUUCUUUCCACAUUACUCAUCAAAAUGAUCAAUCCCAAAUGAAAAAAAAAAUAUCUGUAGCUUUACCAUGAAAUAAUGGGUUGGAUCCUAAAAAGAAGAUUUACCAUCCCCAUAUGUUACAAACCCCCUUGAGUUGAUAGCUCUGAGAUAAAAAAAAAAAAACUAAUAUGAUAACUGCCAUUAUAGAAAGAUUGAAGGUGAACUAAUAGAUACCUCUGAGUGGAUGUUCAAAUGGUAUUCAUUUUUUAAAAGCACCUUUAAAAAUUACUUCUGCUGUUUAAUGAUUCACAAGAAAUAAAUGAUCACUGUGAAAAAAAUUAGAAUAAUCAGAUAAAAUAAAAGAAGAAAAAAUGACCUGUAACUUUACCACUGGAAUACUGAUGUUUUGGGUAUACAUUCUUCAGGACUUAUUAGUAGUAUUUAAUAAACUAACACAUGUGAAUAUUAUAUGAUUGUAUACACAAACACAUAAGAAAAGAUACCCUAAGCAAGGUAGAGAUAAGAUUGAGAUUGGUCUGGUGUAAGCUAUUAUAUGCCAUCUCUGCCUUCCAUCUACUGUCCCCAAAAGUAUGUAUGCUUCUACAUGAUUCACAUCAAGAUUGAGGAGCCUUAUGAGAAAUGAAUUCAAAACAUCUUCAAAAUUGGGGUUCAGGCAUAUAGUUAUGUCUGGUAAACUUUGUGAUAAUGUUUAGGGUGAUGUUCCCCCCCCACACACACAAAAAAACAAUAUUAAAGAGAAUCUAUAGGGCUUCCAAGGAAAAAUUCAUCUUAAGUCAAGUUCAAGUUCAUUGCAACAAAACUCAGAAACAAGAACUGAAGAAGAAAGUCUGGAUUCUGUAUUCAAGGUACAGUUAUAAUUCCAAGAUCCUUCCUCUUCACUAGGGUACUCUGGCAAAGAAGACACUGAGAAAGCAAAAGAACUUAAAGUCAAGAAUUCCAAACAACGUGUAGUAGUUCUCCUUGACCUGAGCAUAUAGAGAAUCAAUGAACUUGUGAAACCUAGGCAUUAUUGGUAGUUGUCCUUAACAGAAUCUACCCGACUGCUGACAUUCCCCCUUCCACACAGAAAAAAAAUGUACUUUAUAGUUUGUUUUUAAAAAUCUAAUCGAGUAUGAUCAAUUGUUUGCACCCCUAUACACAUUUCUGUAAUAUAAUUUGAAAUGAUUUCAGUAGAUAAAUUUUAUCAUAAUUUAAUCAUAAAUAAUGAUGUAGUGAAUAACCUCAUAGUUAAAUGUUGGGUUAUAUGCUAAAUAAUUUCAUUAAGAUGAAUCUCUGAAAUUGGGAUUGUGGGUCAGUUGGUAUGCACAUAAUUAAGACUUAUGUACCAUAUGCAUAUAUGGGUUUAUACCCUCUAAAGAGACUGAAUUGACUUGCUUUUACCAGUGCUGAAUGAAAGUGACAGAUAAAAUGUUAUUUUUAAAAAAUUCAUUUAAUAUCUAUCUCACAUUCCUGGAUAGAGCACACCUUCCCUUUUAAAAAUCACCACUCACCCACUGUAUAUAACAUGUAGGUGUGAAACCAAAAGGACCUGUUCACAGUAUGCAGCACUCACGUCCAUCUAAACCAAUAUGGCAGACACCACAUAUGAGUCCCUGAUCUUGGCUACCUUUUAUCUUGAUCUUUUUUCACUCUGCCAGGCCAUAUCUAACUUGGUUAUUCCCUACUAUGCAUUUUUUGAGUACUUCAUUUUCCUCCUAUUUAGUAUUUUAUUGGGACAAUUUUUUCCUGAUAUAUUAUACUUUUAUUUGGUAUUUCCAUCCCACAUUUCCAAUCUCUCUGAAAAUGCUGAGUUCUAUUGUAAAUUAAGUCAUAUCAGAGUCACUUUAAAUUAAUGUGCCAAAUAAAAACCCAAGAGGCACUACUGUUACCAACCGUGCCCCAACACGGAAUCUGUUCCUUCCUUGCUCCCUCUUUCUCUUUGUGAGCUCAUUUCUGGUUUCAUCAACGUUCUGUAUUCUUGCUGUCCCUGUUUUACUCAGUUUUAGAAAAGUAUUUUUAAGCAACACAAAUUUUUAAAAUGAGGCUGAAGAAACAAAAUGGACUAAAGAAUACACUGUGAAUAUGAACUUUUUCUCUUACUUUGCAAAAGUUGUAAGAAGUCCUUGUGCACUGUGGAUAUAAAUUGAUAGUGUUUCUGGAAGGUUGAUUGGAAAUAAAUACAUCAAAAGCCAUAAGAAUGCUUAUACAUGCAAUUCUAUCUUUAUGAAUUCAUCUGGAGAUGAAUAACAAAUAUACAAACACUAAUGUAAGAGUGUGUUUAUUGAAGCACUAUUUAUAAGUAAAAAUUGAAAUAAACAGAAUGUUCAAUAAUGGUGAAUUGUUUCAAUAAAAUAGGGUUCUUUGUGCAUUGGUACAUGUAUGCAGCUAUUAAAAAUGACUUAAAUUUGUGUUUACAAUAAUGGAAGAACAUUGCUGUUAUAAUGUUAAAUAAAAUAACAGGUUGUAGAGUAUUCAAUGCAGUACGAUCCCACCUUGAUAAUAAAGACAUUUGCAUUUAUGUAA